GCUGAGGUGGGAAGGUGUACAGACCAAUAAAAAUCACGAGUUAGGGGGUGUUUGGGAGAACCGUCACAUUGAAUGUUUGACACUAAUUAGGAGUAUUAAACCUAGACUAAUUACAAAACUAAUUACACAACCCCUAGGCUAAAUCGCGAAAUGAAUCUAUUAAGCCUAAUUAGUCCAUAAUUUGACAAUGUGGUGCUACAGUAGCCAUUCGCUAAUGAUGGAUUAAUUAGGCUCAAUAGAUUUGUCUCGUGAUUUAGCCUAGGGGUUCUGCUAUUAGUUUUGUAAUUAGCUCAUAUUUAGUCCUCCUAAUUAGCAUCCGAAUAUCCGAUGUGACAGGCACCUGUCUCCUAAACACCCCCUUAGAAAAAUAUUUCUACCCAGAUCAAAAAUCUUUUGUCACCGUACUGUUUCCUACCGUCUUACUGGCCCACUCGUCAUCUUUCCUCCGUCCACAUGUCAAUCACGUUUCCUCUAUUUUCUCAUUCUCUUCUCUGCCGCGUUGCUCUUCUUCCCAUUCAACCGCGCUGCCCCUGCGCAUGCGACCCCUUAAAU
rnacentral:lncRNA from 1 species